AAGAAAUCGAUGUAGUACCAGUGCCUAACACCUAGUAGGCGCUCCUUAAGUAGGGGUGAAUAAAUAAAAAGGGCUGGUGCAUGGUCUUCAUCACUCGCAAGUUUGAUAUUUUGAGAAGAUGAGAAGCCACCAAACUCAGACCUAACUACACAUCGUUCAGCAAAUGUUAUUAUGUUUUAGAAUCUGGGGAUAUGGAAAUAAAUAAGAUAGUGUGUCCCUUAAGGAGAUUACAGUGCAGUGCGUCAUUGAAGAGAUGGUUUAAAGCUUGAAACUGAAUUACUGGAUGGAAAAACCAAGCUAAUAUUGUCUCCAUAUGAUGGGAAAUAAGGCCAAGAUUGCAAAAUGUCCUUUAAGAACAAAAACUGGGCACAUUCUAAAAUCAACACAGGAUACUUGUAUUGGGAGUGAAAAACUUUUGCAAAAGAAGCCAGUUGGUUCAGAAACAUCACAGGCAAAAGGUGAAAAAAAUGGAAUGACUUUUUCAUCCACUAAGGAUUUAUGUAAACAAUGUAUAGAUAAAGACUGUCUUCAUAUCCAGAAAGAGAUUUCACCUGCAACCCCUAAUAUGCAGAAGACUAGAAACACCAUAAAUACAUCUCUAGUAGGUAAACAGAAGCCUCACAAAAAACACAUCACAGCUGAAAACAUGAAGAGCAGUUUGGUGUGUCUAACACAAGACCAACUACAACAGAUUUUGAUGACUGUAAACCAAGGAAAUAGAUCUCUUUCCCUGACUGAGAAUGGAAAGGAGGCAAAAAGUAAGAUUUUUCUAAAGUUUUCAUGAAUUUU
rnacentral:sRNA from 1 species